rnacentral:lncRNA from 1 species
AAAAACUGAUACGACUUUGUCAAAAGUUCCAAUGGCUGGGUGUGUUGGCACACACUUUUAAUUCCAGCAUUCUGAAGGCAGCGGCAGGUGGAUUUCCUGGCUUACAAGAACCUCAAAUUCAAUCAGUGUCCUGCUGUUCAAAGGUAUUUUGAAAUGUGCCAAAUCUUAAUUGAUGUGGAAGUGCCUGGAACCAGAGUUAAUACCUGGAGCGACGGGGAGCCCAAAUUAUGGAGGAACCCAGGAACCUGUGGCCGCUGGUGGCUACAGGUGGUGCCCGACGAGUGGCCUGAAAGCGGAAAGAAGGACUCGGGGUACACUGUUUUGGUGAGGCUCCACAGAAAACAGAAGAUGUAUUCUGCAUGUAGGUCAGUUACUUCCAUACAGACUCACCUUCAGCAAAGCUCAGGUGGCUGUUAUUCUUCGAUAUGAAGAGACGCAUUGAGUGCAUAUUGUGGCUUUGGUCUGAAUAAGAAAAAGGAACCCAGUAACCUGUGGUUGCUGGCAGCUACAAUGUAGAACUCUCAGCUAGUUUUGCAUCGAGCCUGCCUAGAUGCUACCCUGCUGCCACCAUGAAGAUGAUGGACUGAACCCUUGAACUUGUGAGCUAGCCCCAAUUAAAUGUUGUCCUUUAUAAGACUUGCCUUGGUCAUGGUAUCUGUUCACAGUUGUAAAACCCUAACUAAGACAUCAAUGAAGAUGAAGGUUAUGAGACCAACUAAGCAUUGCAAAUCUAGAUAUGCAAACCACCAGU